GAUGAGGUGGCUGAGUACGGUAAAGCGGCAGUUUGCUAAAUUGUAGGGCGCGGGUUCAAAUCCCGCUUUCAUCG
rnacentral:tRNA from 2 species